rnacentral:lncRNA from 1 species
AAUUCAAUAGUAUCUUUGAAAACAGAAAUAAAAUAUAGCAAAUAAAAAUAAUGCUAGAAAUACUGUGACAUCCCAAUAGUCCUACAUCGGAUGGGAAUGAGAUUGUCAUUGUCUUUAUAAGAGACUUAGACACUAGUAAUAAUAACUGAGCUUAAGCAUUUUUGGCCGGUGGUUGGGCCCAAUGAGUUAUUUUUGCUAGUGGGCUGAAUCGUUACAUUUGGUAUCAGAGCCGGUUCACCAGCUGGAUAUGUGUGGCGAGUCUCGGCUGAGCCAGGGUCUAGAUGACUGGCUAGCGAGACGAGUCUCACAUUGCCUGGUGAUUUUGGGCUGUGUGUGUUAUUAGACUGACGAGGACGUCAGGGUCUUAACGGGGGGAGUCUGUGACACCCCAAUAGUCCCACAUCGGAGUUGUCAUUGUCUUUAUAAGAGACUUAGACACUAGUAAUAAUAACUGGGCUUAAGCAUUUUAGGCCGGUGGUUAGGCCCAACGAGUUAUUGUUGUUAGUGGGCUGGGUCGUUACAAACCCAAAUGUUAUUAUGAAAAAACUUCAAAUACCACCCCAAUAGUUACAAACCCAAAUGUUAUUAUGAAAAAACUUCAAAUACCACCCCAAUAGUUUCGCACUUUCUUACUUUAAUAGUUUCGCACUUUCUUACUUUAAUAUCCUAUGAUUUAAAGUGUAUCACUUUCAUACCCUGUAAUUUUAUUUUUCUCUUUUUUGGAUCUUCAAGUCUGUUUUUUCAAGUAAAAUAAAUCACUUCAUAGGUAAAAUAUGUUAUUCUACUAAAUCAUAAAUAUAAUUUUUUUUUAAUAUUUAAUUAUUAUUGGUUGAACUAGUGACCUUAAUAUAAAGUUAUAAAUAUUUUAAUUAUUAUUUUUAAUUUUGAUAUAGAAAAUAAAACUAGGUUGAAAUACUAUCAAUAGCACCAAACUAUUGGUGCUAUUAGGUUUUCGGCCCUUAGAUGAAAAAAUAUACUGUUAGGAUGAUAUGGGCCUCCUAGGGUUGAAUAAGUUAUUGGUUGAAUAGUAUAAUCUAACGGGUAAAAAUAGUUAAAGAGUUAAAAUCUAACGGUGGAAAACUCGAUAGCACCAAAUCGUUGGUGCUAUUAAUAACACCCUAGCCGGACUCUAGAAAAUAAUAUUAUUAUUGUAAUAUCAUA